GUCUGACCGAGCACGCCGCGUGAGUGAAGAAGGUUUUCGGAUCGUAAAACUCUGUUGUUAGAGAAGAACAAGGAUGAGAGUAACUGUUCAUCCCUUGACGGUAUCUAACCAGAAAGCCACGGCUAACUACGUGCCAGCAGCCGCGGUAAUACGUAGGUGGCAAGCGUUGUCCGGAUUUAUUGGGCGUAAAGCGAGCGCAGGCGGUUUCUUAAGUCUGAUGUGAAAGCCCCCGGCUCAACCGGGGAGGGUCAUUGGAAACUGGGAGACUUGAGUGCAGAAGAGGAGAGUGGAAUUCCAUGUGUAGCGGUGAAAUGCGUAGAUAUAUGGAGGAACACCAGUGGCGAAGGCGGCUCUCUGGUCUGUAACUGACGCUGAGGCUCGAAAGCGUGGGGAGCAAACAGGAUUAGAUACCCUGGUAGUCCACGCCGUAAACGAUGAGUGCUAAGUGUUGGAGGGUUUCCGCCCUUCAGUGCUGCAGCUAACGCAUUAAGCACUCCGCCUGGGGAGUACGACCGCAAGGUUGAAACUCAAAGGAAUUGACGGGGGCCCGCACAAGCGGUGGAGCAUGUGGUUUAAUUCGAAGCAACGCGAAGAACCUUACCAGGUCUUGACAUCCUUUGACCACUCUAGAGAUAGAGCUUCCCCUUCGGGGGCAAAGUGACAGGUGGUGCAUGGUUGUCGUCAGCUCGUGUCGUGAGAUGUUGGGUUAAGUCCCGCAACGAGCGCAACCCUUAUUGUUAGUUGCCAUCAUUUAGUUGGGCACUCUAGCAAGACUGUCGGUGACAAACCGGAUGAAGGUGGGGAUGACGUCAAAUCAUCAUGCUCCUUAUGACCUGUGCUACACACGUGCUACAAUGGGGAAGUACAACGAGUCGCAUAGUCGCGAGGCUUAUCUAUUCUCUUAA
rnacentral:rRNA from 1 species